AUUGAACGCUGGCGGCAGGCUUAACACAUGCAAGUCGAGCGGAGAUGAGGUGCUUGCUCCUUAUCUUAGCGGCGGACGGGUGAGUAAUGCUUAGGAAUCUGCCUAUUAGUGGGGGACAACAUUCCGAAAGGAAUGCUAAUACCGCAUACGUCCUACGGGAGAAAGCAGGGGAUCUUCGGACCUUGCGCUAAUAGAUGACCCUAAGUCGGAUUAGCUAGUUGGUGGGGUAAAGGCCUACCAAGGCGACUAUCUGUAGCGGGUCUGAGAGGAUGAUCCGCCACACUGGGACUGAGACACGGCCCACACUCCUACGGGAGGCAGCAGUGGGGAAUAUUGGACGGUGGGGGGAACCCUGAUCCACCCAUGCCGCGUGUGUGAAGAAGGCCUUAUGGUUGUAAAGCUCUUUAAGCGAGGAGGAGGCUACUGAGACUAAUACUCUUGGAUAGUGGACGUUACUCACAAAAUAAGCACCGGCUAACUCUGUGCCAGCAGCCGCGGUAAUACAGAGGGUGCGAGCGUUAAUCGUAUUUACUGGGCGUAAAGCGUGCGUAGGC
rnacentral:rRNA from 1 species